rnacentral:lncRNA from 1 species
AGCCGACGCAGGCAGCCGCCGGGUGAAGUACGCAGGUACCGCAGGUACCCGGCGCCCGCCCGAUUUCAGGGCAAGUUACUGUUUUCAGAAUCCAAGGGGAAUCUAACACCUAAACAAUGCCAAGAGAAAAGGAAGGAAAACGAAAAACUAAAGGAGCACUCCUGCCCAUCAUUCCAACUCUUAAAAAGUUCCUGAAAACGUAUGAGAAGUAUUGUGCACAGACUCAGACGUCUGUGUGUCCAGCCAUCAAAAGGGACUUGAAAACCAGCAUCAAUAAUGAACAAAUUCUCAGGAAGUUUGUACUUGUAAGACCUGAUGACUCCCCGCCAGGCAUCCUACCAAUUUCCUUGGAACCUUUGCUCAUGACAGUUCAGGAUGAGUGUUUCACUCUGGGGAGAGAGAUCUGCAUUUGGGGCCUUCAACUGAGCAACCCAGAGAUGGCCAGACUCGCUUUGCUUUUGGAAUCAAAGGGGUGCACCACCUGCCCAUUUACCACCCUGGAACUCAUUGAUUGCAAGAUGGAUCUGUGGUCCCUGGGGAGACUUGGGAAGGCUCUUCAGUCCAGCAGUUUGCAAACUCUUGUUCUUGAUUACUGCAAAUUUGGAAAUGAAGAAAUUGAGAGGAUUUUCUCAGGCCUGGAGAACAACCAAAGGCUUCAAGUCCUCAGCUUACGUUACUGUGGUCUGGGGCCACAGAUUGGGCCAAGGCUGGGCUCUAUCAUAUGCCAGAGUGCCAUUUGUGAGCUGCACCUUGAUGGCAAUUACUUGCAGUGUUCUGGAGCUCUGGAUCUCCUCAGACCCGUAGCAGAGUAUGCAGAGAUGCAGGGGAAAGACCAGCCAGCCACUUGCUCACCAGACCCUAGGCAUCCCCCUCAGCUGCUCCAAGCUAAGCAGAGAGGAAGUUCAACUUUGAACCAGAUUACAAAGUCAUCUGGAGCUCUAACAGUGAAAACUACUUCAGGAAAGAAGAGAAAAAAAGGAAUCAAGAAAAAACUUAAAAAUUCGGAAGUUGGACCUUGGUUAGUGAAGUUGUAUUUGGCAGAUAAUGGCAUAGAUGGAAAAGGAAAAGAAGGAGAAAAUAACUUGCUGGAAUUCACUCAAAUUUUAACAUGCCUGAUCAAAUACUCUGCCCAUUUAAGGGAGAUUGACCUUGGAAACAAUGUCCUGGGAGAAAUGGCUGCUGCUGACAUUCUUGAAGCACUGAGAGCCAGAAAGACAGGUAAACUUCCAGUUUUAAAAGUUACAGUAACUCCCCAGAUCUCUUCAGAUACCUUCAUGUCUAUUUGGGAAAAUAGCAAGAAAUCAAGUACUACCCAUAAAAAGAGGAAAAAGGUAUGCUCUCAGAUAUCUGUGCUGGUAAGUAGAAGCCACCAGGGGGUGCUCUAUGGAGUCUGGGCACUCUGCUAG